CCGCUGCUGCAGCUGCUGCUGCCGGGGCAGUGGCCGCUGGGGGGUUGUCGCUUGGCGCCGCGCGCAGUCCCUAGCGCAACAUGCAGGAUCUUCCCGGCCUGACUGCUGCACCUCGAUCGAAAAAACUAAGAAACUCAAGAGGAGUCAUCAGAAUUCCUGCCAUGUGGGAGUCAUCAACCCAAUGGGUGACUUCUUUUCUGCUCCACAUAUAAGAGGAUUACUUAGACCGAGCCAGGACAAUGAGAUUCAAUCCUGAAAUUUUUUUCAAACUUGGAAAGAGGAUCUCUUUUCCAUGGGAUUGAAAAUAGAGCUCCUGAGAACCUGCCUGAUGGAGAGUGCAACAUAGAGAAAAGCAGAACGAAGACACAGAGAGAAGGAGUUCCAUUUUGACUUCUAGAUCCAACCUUGCCUGCAGCUGAGCUUGUUCACUGAUGUUUUCGUCUCCUAUUCCAAGCAAGUAGCCAGGCUAAUUGCCGCCUUACUUCAGGGAAGUCUGUGGCAGAAGCUUGAAAGCAAAUGACCUACUACACCUGCUUGUGUCCUGGUCUUCAAGAGCUUGGGUUCCUGAAGUGGAUUAUGCUGGAGGAACACAGGUAGAAGCAGAAGUAACAAAGGAGAGAAGGAGACUGCCCUACUGCCCUAUACCAGGAAGGUGUGGUGGUUUCCACAAUCAUCAAGGGGCCUGUGUCCUACUUCUAGCAGAACCUGGGGAAGAAGACAAGGAUUCUGCGGAGCCUAACUGUGUGGUGAAGCUAGGGAGGCUGUACCC
ensembl:lncRNA novel transcript